rnacentral:rRNA from 1 species
GACGAAGGAUGCAAGCGUUAUCCGGAUUCAUUGGGUUUAAAGGGCGCGUAGGCGGCCUUGUAAGUCAGUGGUGAAAUCUUUCCGCUUAACGGAAAAACUGCCAUUGAUACUGCUUGGCUUGAGUACAGAUGCUGUGGGCGGAAUAUGACAUGUAGUGGUGAAAUACAUAGAGAUGUCAUAGAACACCGAUUGCGAAGGCAGCUCACAAAACUGUAACUGACGCUGAGGCUCGAAAGUGUGGGGAUCAAACAGG